rnacentral:tRNA from 1 species
GGGCCGUUAGCUCAGUUGGCUAGAGCGCUUCCAUGGCAUGGAAGAGGUCGCUGGUUCAAAUCCAGUACGGUCCA